UACUGUGGUUAAAGGCAUGAGUCAC
rnacentral:piRNA from 1 species